UAAUACACUAGCAAAAUACUUUAUUUUUUUUCAAUGGCAGAACAUAAGUGAUUUUUUUUCUCUUCAGUAAGCCAUGGCAUCUGUGGUACAAGAAUAAAGUAUAGUUUUAACAUUUCCAAACAAUUAAAAAAUCCCCCAACAAAAAGACCAACUGUUUGGGACAAUCUCUCCAUUUACAAGUAGGGAAAUGAAAGUUACAUAUAUCUCCCCUACACUCAGGAAAAAUAUAUAUAUAUAUAUUUAAAGAAUUAGUUUUUUUUUUUUAAAUCUAUUAAAAAAGUAAAAAAUAUACAGUCAAGAUCUAGUUCUUAUUUAAUCUCUUAUAUAAAACUGUAAACAUUUAUUUACAUGAAAGGAAGUGUGUUCAAAAGGAGUUACACCACAUGCUUAUCAAUUCAGAGACCGGAAAAGCAGUUUGAACCUUGCUAUUUAAAGGGUACAUAUUGAAAACAGCCCCAUAAUGACUGGGGACAGUACUGCACAGUGACAAUUUAACUGUAUUUGACUGGCCCCCACUCACCACCUUAAAAAGUAAAAAAAAAAAAAAAAUUUAAAAAAAGUUAGAGAGACAGACAAGUAUACACAAUUACUUAUUGCUGAAUCGAUGUGCUAAUUCUGGAAAGAUAACAUCUUAUGAAAUUAGAAAAUCUAAAAAUAAAGCAACAUUCUGGGAAUUAUAAACAUCUCUCAUUGGAGUCCACAGAGAAUGGUUCAACAAUGAAUGAGGGUCUCGAUAAGCACUCUGCAACAGUGAUACACUGGUAGGCCUAUAAUGGUUUCCCAGGGGACAUUAGGCAUCAUAACUACUUUAUUGACAUGUAGUUAACACUCCCAGAUUGUCCCUUAAAGUCCAACCUGAAUGAACUAAAAAAAAAAAAAAAAAAAGUGUCAUCAUGAAGUCUGAAUUACUGUAUUAUUGAGGGCAUCAGGGACACUGCUUGAAGGACCUAAUUAAAAGGAUCCUAAUAAAGCUGACAUUUUCUAGAAGACAAUUCAUAGCUAUAACCUUUACUUUAUAACUGUUUUGACUCAUUCUCCAUAUAAUGAAGAACAUUAAAAAGGUAACAAUGACACCAUUAUUAGUACCUAAGGGCACUAACAUUCAAUAUAUAUAACUUUUAAGUUUGCCAUGUGAUGCAUUGUGGUGACACUUACCAAACAAUUAUUAUAAAACAAUGGCAUAAUGAAAUAAGCCAUUACUGUAAAGGGUACUCAAAUUGGAUUUGUCAAGUUUCUUAGAAGCAUGAAACAAAUACAUUCCUUAUGGUAAAAUGAAUAUUAAGCGUUCACAGAAGAUAGUAGCUGUAGUAAACAUCAAUCUAGAAGCCAAGUUAUGGGCUUUAUUCGGUUUUAAAGCAUCUCAAACAAAAGGUUAACAGAUAAAGUUAGCAGUAGUAUAUACAAAACGUGACCAAAUGCAUAAUCUGAUUGUGGUACACUAAUGAGUAUAUUCCAAUGGAUAUCAUCACAGUGGCUUACUUCCAAUUUGGAAGAAAAAAUUAAAACUUUUCAGCUCUUUAAAGGGACACUGUAGGCAUGCAGACCACUUCAGUUAAUUGAAGUAGUUUGGGUGCUGUGACCCUUUUGCACUUAGUGCUGCAAUGUCAAACAUUGCGGUUCCAGAGAACUACAAUGUUUACAUUGCAGUUCUAAGUCUGCCCUCAGUGGCUGUCUACCAGACAGCCACUAAAGGGCUUCCAGAAUCCAAAUAGACUUUUGAUCAGUUAUCUGACACUGAACGUCCUCAGUGUUUUUAACCCCUUCAGCCACGCGGGAGGGGGACCUAUUAACCCUAUCGUGCCAUGAAAACUGCUUUGUUUUCCUGGCACUAUAGGAUCCCUCUAAGGUGUGCAUUUCAUCUUAAGGCUUCAAAACUCCAAAAUGUAAAUGUCAGGAGUUUCAGUUCCAUUAAACCCCUACACUACAGCAAGCUGUAGUGGCCAUGGUGUCAGGGGUCCUCUGUCAGAGAGAUGAGCCAAUGCUCUAAGCCAGUAAGCUAGAACUGCAUUGCAAUGGUUUGGCUCAGGAGAGCAGAUGCAAUGGUCAGCAGAACCCAGGUAAGAAGUUAAGCCAUUCUAAACGGACUACUUACAAUGGACUGAAUGGAGGGAUGCCAGUGCACUCCGAGCACCUUAACCACUACAGUGCAAUGGUGCUUGGAGUGGUCCUUAAUAAACCCACAAGUGUGCAACUCAAAUGUUAAACCUCUGACAGGAUUUGACAUUUAAAAAUGCACUUCAGAUGGAUGCCCUACUAAAUCCUUAAUUGUCUACAGGUUUAACAUAAAACUAUCCAAUCUUUGAUGUAAACAAAUAUUAAUACCGCACUGACAAUUUAAUGUGUCUAAUGAUGACAAGAAGUAUUUGAAUUAUGCAAAAUGUAAUCAAUCAGUAAUAGUCAAAAAGUUCAAAGUUAUAUAUACACAGAACUGCCACAUACAGAAUGGUCAAAAAACAUUUUGGUGGCGGAAUACAAAAAAAAUUUAAAUUAAAAAUGGACAGUGUCUCAGUAGAAAAACAUUUUUAGAAAUAAAAAAAAUCUCUCCAAAAAGUGUUUGAGAUUUGUAGAUGGGCAAUAUGUAGGUAAGUUUUUUCUCACUGUAGUGGAGAAUGAUGUAGAUAUUUAUUUCCUCUACAGCUGGUUGUUUUCUUCCUAUAUAGCUGGAAACAAGUAGUGUGUAAAUGGAUGAUAUCAGUGUCCCUCCAAGAUCCUUAGUCUAUAUAUACCUACUUGGUCUUGGUUCUUCUAGCAGGGCCUUCGAAGGGAUGCCAUAUUCCCGAGCACGCAGCCCAGAUUGCUGCAGGCUGGACAGAGACUGAAAUACUUACACCAUCCAUCUAUACAGCCCUGAUUACUAAAUACUGGAGGGACACUGAUAUUAUCCAUCUACACACUACUUGUUUCCAGCUAUAUAGAAAGAAAACCACCACCUGUGGGGAAAAGAAAUAUAUACCACACUCUCCACUACAGUGAGAAAUGAAAACAAAAAACACUUACCUACAUAUGGUCCAUCUACCAAUUGUUUUCAUUUCUAAAAACGUUUUUCUACUGAGAGUGUCAAUUUUUAUUUUGUAUUUUUUUGUACUCCGUCCCACCAAAAAAUUUGUCUGAUUAGACUGUUGGAUAUCUACCUACUGAGAGAGUACUUUUUAUCCAACAGUAGAGUAUAAAUUGGUGGAUCCACCAGGCAUGGGGAUUGUCAUUAAUUAAAUUACAGAGAUAUACAUAUGAGAUGUGCACAUAAGAUGAAUUGUUGCUAUAAGUAAGGGUUGUACCAUAUGAUUGAGGUUGUUUGCGUUUUUUUGAACCAUUCUGUGCGUGGCAAUUCUGUAUAUAUGAUUUUAAAUUAUUUGAUAAUUACUGAUUGAUUAAAUUUUGCAUAAUUCAAAUACUUUGUCAUUAGACACAUUUAAGUGUCAGAGUGCGAUAUUUUUAUUAGAUUGUUUAUACUUUUUGGGGGUUUGUGGAGAGUGCCAACACAUUAGUAUUUAUCAAUCUUUGAUAUACUGAUACACAGGGCUGUGAAUCAGACAAAACACACAGUAAGGCAAAGGAAAAGAAAUAAAUAAAAUACAGUCAAAAGGAAGAAAUGCCCCCUUAGUGCUGUUUACGUGCAACAGAGAAAGAAAAUCAUGUGCUAGAGUAAAACAUGCUAUUCACAAAUGCAAAGCCAGUAAAUUUGUCGCUCAAAAAACAAACCUAAAACUGGUUUAACUCUACAGUCUGAAAGAAUAUUUUAAAAAAUUUAUUUAUAGUUUUCUUACUAGAGGAGAGCUUGCCUGCGAGCUGUAAAUGUGCUAGUAGUACAACCAACAAGCAGCCACGAAGAACCUGCAUACAACAAAAAAAAGUGUAAAAUAAUCCAAUGGCUGCCUGGGUAUCAUUGGAACGAUGGCAAACAAGCAGCUGCAAUGACAAAUGUUGGCCAGCAGCAUCUUGGACUUUUUAAACUGCCAUUUAAUCAAUUAUAUUUUACAACUAGUUAAGCCCUACUGUAGGCCUAAAAAAAAACUAAAUAUGAAUUUGUUAAAGAAUAAAAAUAAAAAAAGUUGCAAAAAUGAACAGAAAUUGAUAAAAUAAAUGUCUCAAUGUUUAAUUGUUCUAUUAUCCAUGCAAGAAAAUCAGUGUUUUAAGAACCUUUCUUCCUUAAAACUUAGCCUAAUCAGCAAAUCAUGUGUUGCUCUGAUUAUCCUAAAGUUUAGGGUUAGCUUUGUACAGCACUCAAGAAACACACCAACACACCUUUAAAGGGAUAGUAAAGACAUCAAAACAACUUAAUGAAGCAGUUUUGGUGUAUAGAUCAUGCCCCUGCAAACUCACUGCUCAAUUCUCUGCCAUUUAGGAGGUAAAUUACUUUUGGUUCUGUUUAAGCAACCCUAGCGACACCUUUCAAGACUGUGACUGACAAAGUCUGCAUGAAAAAAAAUGGUUUUCUUUUCAAUCAGAUUUUAAACAUGUUUCAGAAGUUUUUAUCUUCUGCUCUGUAAAUUAAACUUUAAAUUACACAUAGGAGGCCCUUGCAGGGUCUGCAGCAUCAUCCUGUGCAAUAAUGGAAGUUUAACCCCUCAUGUCAUGAUUCCCCUUUAUUCCAGAAGUUUGGUCCUUAAGGGGGGCACUGUAGGCACCCAGACCACUUUAGCUAAUUGAAGUAGUCUGGGUGCUGUGACCCUUGUGCACUUAGUGCUGCAAUAUAAAACAUUGCAGUUCCAGCGUCAGCUUUUCCCCAUAGGAAAGCAUUGAAUAAUGCUUUCCUAUGGGGAGGUCUAAUGCGCGUGAGGCCAUUGCCGCGCAUGCGCACUAGGUCUCCGCCAGGGGAGGAGCGUGGGUGGAACCUGACCCACCGCUAGAUUCAGUUAAGUAGCUAAAGGGGUUUUAAAGAUCCCUUUAAACAUUAGAUUACUUUUUACAGGAGUGUUUAGGAAGGCUGUGUAAGUCAGUCACAUUCAGGGAGGUGUGACAAGGUUUGUAUAAACAAAGUAAUUUAACUCCUAAAUAGCAGAGAAUUGAGCAGUGAGACUGCAGGGGCAUGAUACAUACACCAAAACUGCUUAAAGGGAAACUAUAGGCUAGGAAUACAAAGUUGUAUUUCUAGCACUAUAGUAAUCCUAUAAUGCUCCCUUAGCAGCGCAGAGAGGGUUAAACACUGUCACUUGCUUGAAUCAAGCACGGAUGUCUCUCAGUGCUAUGUCAGGCUCGGCCCUCGCUCACAUAAUGGUUACCCCAUAGGAAAGCAGUGAAUCAAUGCUUUCCUAUCGGGUUUUAGCCAUCCUUGGAUGUCCUCAUGCUAGAUAGACAGCCACUAAAGGUGGAGUUAACCCUGAAAGGUAAUUAUUGCAGUUUCUCAAUAACUGCCAUAAUUACUAUUGAAAUGGUAAGCUGUCAGGGUCAGUGCACCAGACCAUUAAUAAGUGGUCUGGGUGCUUAUAGUGUCCCUUUAAGUGCAUUUUCACAAAAGGUCUUCCAGUGUAGAGGGUAUGCAGUGUAGAUCAGCCACAAGAGAUCAGUGUGAGCUGAGGGCUUUAAUUCAUCCCCGCCAAUCACUGUCCACCUCUUUGGACAGAAUUUCAAAACCAUGCUAAGGGGAAAAUGUGACAUUUUCCAUUCAUACAAGUCUCUACCGGCUGAGCAGAGUAUGUGCUCACAGUACUUCACUAAUAAAGAAAAGUGCUUUGCAAAAAGAUGAGGCAAGGAUAAGGGUAAAACAUAAUGUGGCCGUGAGGGGGGAUUAAAGUGAUCGAAAAGAAAAAAAUAGAGCAUGCAUAUGAAAUCAAUACCAAUCAAAUGCACUUAACUUGUGUUGGUGCUCAGUGUACUUUUACAUGUUUUAAAUGUGAAGUAUGGCUUAUGCCCAAUUGGAGAAGAGCUGGUGGCCCCCAUCAUGGACAACCCUUUUUUGCUUGGGAAUGAAAGGUGUGAAUUAGUGAUUUGCCAUCUUUAUGUUGCUUAAUGAGUUCAUUUUAAUAAGAAAAGACUACAACCACUGGCCUGGUACGUCCACUGAUGGAAAUGUAUUCACUGAAUUCUAGAAAUCAGUCUGCUAAGGUUUAUUUCACUCCAGCACCCUUGCACUAUAAAACAAAAUAGAAAGUGUUGAAAUUCACCAGAAAUCUUUAGUAGGUUAGUGUUAAGGAGGCAAGGAAGUGCAAAUUUAGUUUAAAAAUUGGAGCAAUGUUUUUGUGAUAGAGAGUUUGUUCUUAAAAAAUUUCAAUAUAUGAAAGUGUUUCCACGGCGCCCUCUAGAGUAACAGAUUACACACAAGUACUGAGCAACAGAAUUAUCAGUGCUAGGCCAGCAUGUAAAAUGAGAGUUAUACAGAAGCUGUAAGGCAGUUGAGAUGGUAGCAAUAGUAUCUGUACAAAUCCAUCAAAGCUCAUUAAAAUAAAUGCAACCAUCACAUAUGAACAGAAAAUAUAUUUCCGAUCCCCUUUUCUAUGAAACAAUGGAAAUUCAGUCAUGUGCAUAGUUAUUUAACAUUUAAAAAGGGGGGGAAAAAAUAAUUCAGGGAUGAGAUCCAAAUUCACACAGUGCUCAUAGUAGUAACACCCUUGCAAUCUCUUCAAUGUAAUAAAUUACAGGGAUGUUAUUGUAAGUGCAAAGUGUGGGGGAACAAUACUGACAAUUCUUUGUUAAAACAUGAAGGUAGGAAAUGGAGAGUUCAGCCAGCAGUGGAGUGAUAAUUACUCAAUUUGUAUUGUCACUAACUUACAGUCAUGAUCACUGAUCAGGUCAUUGAAUUAUAUGCCCCAAGACCAUUAGGUACAUGUAUUCUUAAAAAAAAAAAAAGUAGAAAAAUUGAUGAAUAGAACAUCACAGAUGUUCUGUCUAAACAAUUCUGUGCAAAGAUAUUUAAACUAGGAGGGAAAACAUACAAGUGUGUAUUUUCAUCUUAUUAGCCUUUUUAUAAUUUGAAAACCAAUGGAAAGAAAAGAAACAUAUAAAAAGAUGGCUACAAUGCCUUUACUUCACAGUGAGUGAUGUGAACUGUGUUCUAUCGGGAGCAAGUGCAUUGCUGGUAGUGGAGGUGAGAUUUGAGCUUGUCGGGUGAACAUGAUGCACUGGCACCAGCCAGGUUACAUGUUGCAUGUUGUGGGAGUUCUAAUUUAGCAAUGAGAGAAAUAUACAUUUUGGGAGGGCAGGAGGGAGGGGAGAGAGAGACACUAAAGAAAACAAAGAAUCCCCAAAACAUUUUUUGCUACUGAUCACCUUUUGCUCCCACACACCGCUCCACGUACUUGUAAUAAAAACAUAAGGCAUCUGAAAAUAUGGCAAGAGGAUCCUGUAAGGAUUAAUGACAGAAGAUAGGCAGAAAAAAGGAAAAUAAAAAUUAACAUGCUCCAGGCAUUGACUGUCUACAGAGAGUAGGGAUUAAGCAGCAACCCCAUUUUGUAUUCCAGCCUCAGUGACAUCUCAAUGGCACAGUUUAUUGUUGUGUUUUGUUUUUUUUUUUGGUCCAAAUGUAAUACACAUUUUAGUUUUCAUUUUUUUUUUUUUUUAUAAAAAAUGUACUAAAAUG